UACGGGGGGGGUAAGCGUUGUUCGGAAUUUCUGGGCGUAAAGGGCUCGUAGGCGGCCAACUAAGUCGGACGUGAAAUCCCUCAGCUUAACUGGGGAACUGCGUCCGAUACUGGAUGGCUUGGAUUUGGGAGAGGGAUGCGGAAUUCCAGGUGUAGCGGUGAAAUGCGUAGAUAUCUGGAGGAACACCGGUGGCGAAGGCGGCAUCCUGGACCAAUAUUGACGCUGAGGAGCGAAAGCUAGGGGAGCAAACGGG
rnacentral:rRNA from 1 species